rnacentral:hammerhead_ribozyme from 1 species
AUCCAGCUGAUGAGUUUCAAAUAGGACGAAACGCGCAUCCUGGAU